rnacentral:rRNA from 1 species
AGCGUACACGGUGGAUGCCCUGGCAGUCAGAGGCGAUGAAGGACGUGCUAAUCUGCGAUAAGCGUCGGUAAGGUGAUAUGAACCGUUAUAACCGGCGAUUUCCGAAUGGGGAAACCCAGUGUGUUUCGACACACUAUCAUUAACUGAAUCCAUAGGUUAAUGAGGCGAACCGGGGGAACUGAAACAUCUAAGUACCCCGAGGAAAAGAAAUCAACCGAGAUUCCCCCAGUAGCGGCGAGCGAACGGGGAGCAGCCCAGAGCCUGAAUCAGUGUGUGUGUUAGUGGAAGCGUCUGGAAAGGCGCGCGAUACAGGGUGACAGCCCCGUACACAAAAAUGCACAUGCUGUGAGCUCGAUGAGUAGGGCGGGACACGUGGUAUCCUGUCUGAAUAUGGGGGGACCAUCCUCCAAGGCUAAAUACUCCUGACUGACCGAUAGUGAACCAGUACCGUGAGGGAAAGGCGAAAAGAACCCCGGCGAGGGGAGUGAAAAAGAACCUGAAACCGUGUACGUACAAGCAGUGGGAGCACAGAGCAAUCUGUGUGACUGCGUACCUUUUGUAUAAUGGGUCAGCGACUUAUAUUCUGUAGCAAGGUUAACCGAAUAGGGGAGCCGAAGGGAAACCGAGUCUUAACUGGGCGUUAAGUUGCAGGGUAUAGACCCGAAACCCGGUGAUCUAGCCAUGGGCAGGUUGAAGGUUGGGUAACACUAACUGGAGGACCGAACCGACUAAUGUUGAAAAAUUAGCGGAUGACUUGUGGCUGGGGGUGAAAGGCCAAUCAAACCGGGAGAUAGCUGGUUCUCCCCGAAAGCUAUUUAGGUAGCGCCUCGUGAAUUCAUCUCCGGGGGUAGAGCACUGUUUCGGCAAGGGGGUCAUCCCGACUUACCAACCCGAUGCAAACUGCGAAUACCGGAGAAUGUUAUCACGGGAGACACACGGCGGGUGCUAACGUCCGUCGUGAAGAGGGAAACAACCCAGACCGCCAGCUAAGGUCCCAAAGUCAUGGUUAAGUGGGAAACGAUGUGGGAAGGCCCAGACAGCCAGGAUGUUGGCUUAGAAGCAGCCAUCAUUUAAAGAAAGCGUAAUAGCUCACUGGUCGAGUCGGCCUGCGCGGAAGAUGUAACGGGGCUAAACCAUGCACCGAAGCUGCGGCAGCGACGCUUAUGCGUUGUUGGGUAGGGGAGCGUUCUGUAAGCCUGCGAAGGUGUGCUGUGAGGCAUGCUGGAGGUAUCAGAAGUGCGAAUGCUGACAUAAGUAACGAUAAAGCGGGUGAAAAGCCCGCUCGCCGGAAGACCAAGGGUUCCUGUCCAACGUUAAUCGGGGCAGGGUGAGUCGACCCCUAAGGCGAGGCCGAAAGGCGUAGUCGAUGGGAAACAGGUUAAUAUUCCUGUACUUGGUGUUACUGCGAAGGGGGGACGGAGAAGGCUAUGUUGGCCGGGCGACGGUUGUCCCGGUUUAAGCGUGUAGGCUGGUUUUCCAGGCAAAUCCGGAAAAUCAAGGCUGAGGCGUGAUGACGAGGCACUACGGUGCUGAAGCAACAAAUGCCCUGCUUCCAGGAAAAGCCUCUAAGCAUCAGGUAACAUCAAAUCGUACCCCAAACCGACACAGGUGGUCAGGUAGAGAAUACCAAGGCGCUUGAGAGAACUCGGGUGAAGGAACUAGGCAAAAUGGUGCCGUAACUUCGGGAGAAGGCACGCUGAUAUGUAGGUGAAGUCCCUCGCGGAUGGAGCUGAAAUCAGUCGAAGAUACCAGCUGGCUGCAACUGUUUAUUAAAAACACAGCACUGUGCAAACACGAAAGUGGACGUAUACGGUGUGACGCCUGCCCGGUGCCGGAAGGUUAAUUGAUGGGGUCAGCGCAAGCGAAGCUCUUGAUCGAAGCCCCGGUAAACGGCGGCCGUAACUAUAACGGUCCUAAGGUAGCGAAAUUCCUUGUCGGGUAAGUUCCGACCUGCACGAAUGGCGUAAUGAUGGCCAGGCUGUCUCCACCCGAGACUCAGUGAAAUUGAACUCGCUGUGAAGAUGCAGUGUACCCGCGGCAAGACGGAAAGACCCCGUGAACCUUUACUAUAGCUUGACACUGAACAUUGAGCCUUGAUGUGUAGGAUAGGUGGGAGGCUUUGAAGUGUGGACGCCAGUCUGCAUGGAGCCGACCUUGAAAUACCACCCUUUAAUGUUUGAUGUUCUAACGUGGACCCGUAAUCCGGGUUGCGGACAGUGUCUGGUGGGUAGUUUGACUGGGGCGGUCUCCUCCUAAAGAGUAACGGAGGAGCACGAAGGUUGGCUAAUCCUGGUCGGACAUCAGGAGGUUAGUGCAAUGGCAUAAGCCAGCUUGACUGCGAGCGUGACGGCGCGAGCAGGUGCGAAAGCAGGUCAUAGUGAUCCGGUGGUUCUGAAUGGAAGGGCCAUCGCUCAACGGAUAAAAGGUACUCCGGGGAUAACAGGCUGAUACCGCCCAAGAGUUCAUAUCGACGGCGGUGUUUGGCACCUCGAUGUCGGCUCAUCACAUCCUGGGGCUGAAGUAGGUCCCAAGGGUAUGGCUGUUCGCCAUUUAAAGUGGUACGCGAGCUGGGUUUAGAACGUCGUGAGACAGUUCGGUCCCUAUCUGCCGUGGGCGCUGGAGAACUGAGGGGGGCUGCUCCUAGUACGAGAGGACCGGAGUGGACGCAUCACUGGUGUUCGGGUUGUCAUGCCAAUGGCACUGCCCGGUAGCUAAAUGCGGAAGAGAUAAGUGCUGAAAGCAUCUAAGCACGAAACUUGCCCCGAGAUGAGUUCUCCCUGACUCCUUGA